GCGCUGGCAGCUGUACAUGAUGUGUUUCAUGUUUCAAUGCUUCGGAAAUAUGUCUCAGACUCGUCCCAUGUUCUGAGUUAUGAAGCAUUGGAACUUCAGCCGGACUUGUCAUACGAGGAACAACCAGUGCAAAUACUUGAUAGAAGAGAAAAAGUCUUGAGAAGCAAGACAGUGGCACUGGUGAAAGUACUGUGGAGGAACAGUAAAGUAGAAGAGGCAACUUGGGAACUCGAGACGGAUAUGCAGCAGAAAUAUCCGGAGUUGUUCAGGUAAAUUUCGGGACGAAAUUUCUAUAAGGAGGGGGUAAUUGUAAUACCCGGAAUUAAGAAAUGGAUUAGCAAAACCCUAACUAGAUAAUUAUGUAUAAUUGAGGAAAUUAUAUUAUUAUAUAAUUUAAUAUAUGUGAAAUUAUAUGAAUUUUAUUAUGUUAAGACCCCGUUGGUGAGCCAGGGGCAUUUUAGUAAUUAUGACCCGAGAAGGGUAAAAUUAUGAAAUUAAUUUGAUUACGUGCUUAAUGGAACUAUAUUAUUAUAUAGUAUACCUGUGUUGUCUUUUCAGGUGUGUUCUGACAGGUUAGCGCGGUAUAGUCACAACCGGGAAUUUCGGGCCGAACCGGGUUCGGGCCCGAAAUGUAAAUUGGAUUGAUAAUUUGGCAUUUUAUUGGAUGAAUGAUAAUAUGAAAUUAAUUUUGAAUUAUGUAUGCAUGAAAUGGCAAAAUUACCCUUGUGAGGGUGUAUGUGUGAAUUUAAGCCAUGAGGGCAAAAUGGUCUUUUGACCUUUAUUUCUCUACAAUUAAUAAAAGAUGGAAUUUUGAGGAUAAUGAAUAGAAAAUUCUGGUUUUUCCUCCCUCAUACCCGAACCCCUCUAUCUCUCAACCCUCUUUAAAUUUCAAACUUGAUUUUGUGAAGAUUUGCUUGGUUUGAAGCUUAGUAUUUGAGGAUUGAUUGAGCUUGGCUUUAAAUUGAGUUUAAGGAUUACCGGCACCUGGUCAGGAGCACCCGGGGAUUUGGAAUCUCUACUAUUACAGGACAACAGGAAAGGGUAAGGCAUUAGCUGAUCAGCCAUGAGUUUCAGGAGCAGGGCGAAGAAUGUACAUGUUCAUGCCACUUCAGACCAAGCGGGUUAUGGGUCUAACAGUGUUGACUUUUGUAUUCUGUUUUGCCGCUUAGGUCGGCUAGUAAGAAAGAACUUGUAAUAAGUUUGUAAAUGUUUUUUGGGAUCCCAACUAUUUUGAAAAGUUUAAAUAUAUUACAAGUUUAUUUUCAGUCUGUUUAAUAUAAAAGUUUAAAUUCUGCGCUAUUUUAAUUAGUAAUCCCGGUUAGGGGAUUAGGGCUUCAUAAGUAUUUUGGGUAGCGUGCCUAAUUAUUUAGGGCGUUACAUGAGUACUCCACCAUUUAUGUU